UCGGGAUAACACCUGGAAACAGAUGCUAAUACCGGAUAACAACAGAUGAUGCCUAUCAACUGUUUAAAAGAUGGUUCUGCUAUCACUCUUGGAUGGACCUGCGGUGCAUUAGCUAGUUGGUAGGGUAACGGCCUACCAAGGCAAUGAUGCAUAGCCGAGUUGAGAGACUGAUCGGCCACAUUGGGACUGAGACACGGCCCAAACUCCUACGGGAGGCAGCAGUG
rnacentral:rRNA from 1 species